UGACAAAAAAGUCAAUUCUUAGAAAAAAAAAGUCACAAUUACCUUUUUUUAAUCUUUUUUUAUUCCGUGACGGAAAUGAGCUUCCAUACAAGUCGGAUGUAAUGGAAGGGAGAAACUUCUCUGUCAUUUAAGCAGCACAUUUUACUAUUGUAGCACGGAGUAGGCGCUAUUCCUUACACCUGCUAUGCCUCUUGCAAAAUUUUGCACAUUUACAGGUUGAUUUUAGAUCACUGGAGGGACCAUUUUCAAGAAGUCGGGAUAACCGAGAGCCAAUGUGAAGUGUGUUUUUAAGGUUUUGUCAUGCAGACUUCUCAAAAGGACAAUGUCAUAUAAUUUCUAGUGAUGUCUGUCAAUCAGUUAGAUUCUUGCCAUUAAGCAAAUCAGUGCAAACCUGCAUUAACAAACAUUUCUGACUGCUCCUGUAGAGAAGAAAACAAAAUCAAUGGAUAUCACAUAUACCGUCAGUCAUUACAGUUCAAAUUGUCACCAAAACCAGUUUCUCAAGCAAGUUCUGCAAUGUUUUGAGUUUCUUUGGUGAUCCUGACAGUGAACUUGCACCUUAAGGAUGGAUUAUUUUCUCGCAAGCUCCUAUUUAACGCAUCUAAAUACUCAAACCAACUGGGACAGCAUUAAAAUUGUUGGAGAAGUUUGUGGCGAGCCAUAUUUGAGGACACUGAGUCUUUCUAGAAGUCUGCGAGGAGGAAUAACACUACACAAACUGGUCUUUUAGGUGAUUGUACUGGUUUAAAUGUGGUUUGGCUGCUUUAGUGAUCCCGGCAUGGACGUUUCUUCUCCGAGAGGCAGAUCUUUGCUUGUAUUUUAGACAAAGGCCAAGCUAAUGAACUCAUAUAUGAUCAUUCCCACCGAAUUACAGAACACUACUUGAUAAAAACAGUGUUUUAGCCCUGACGAUGAUGGCAUCCAAGAGCGUCCUGCAUCAUCGACGUAUGAAAGUGGAUGAUUUCGGUGUAACUUCCAUUCCUCCACACUGCUUUUCUUUAAAAUCGAUUCUCUUCCACUGCAUGUGUUUUCAUUUAGCUGGUGAUGUGGCCAACAAUAUCACAAUAUCCAGUUUGUAUAUGGGAAUCUGUUAUUAAAACAUCAAAUACUCA